GGAGAAAAUAAAGCGCACCCGGAUCUGAAUUUCAUGGAAUUACAUAGAAUGUGCUUCGGGCUUCUCAUCAUAAAAAUUCACAAAGGGUUGAUGGUAAGGGGUCAUGCCCAUAAGGAGUGUGAGUUCCUGCGCGCGGAGAAGGCUAGGGUCCCGGAAGCCUGGAGAAACUGAAGACGGAGAAGAAAUUCGGAAUCCUGCAAGGCAUUGGACCUAAGAAUUCCUUUCAAAGAUCCCCUAAGUCAGUUACGGUUGUCUGUCCUUAUUCAUGAGAAGAUACCUGUUGGCACAGAAGAAGUCAAAG